rnacentral:rRNA from 1 species
UACGGAGGAUCCGAGCGUCAUCCGGAUUUAUUGGGUUUAAAGGGUGCGUAGGCGGAAAUGUAAGUCAGUGGUGAAAUCCUGCAGCUUAACUGUAGAAUAGCCGUUGAAACUGUGUUUCUUGAGUACAUUUGAGGUAGGCGGAAUGUGGUGUGUAGCGGUGAAAUGCAUAGAUAUACCACAGAACACCGAUUGCGAAGGCAGCUUACUAAACUGUAACUGACGCUGAGGCACGAAAGCGUGGGUAUCAAACAGGAUUAGAUACCCCU